UAAGCGGAGGAAAAGAAACCAACCGGGAUUGCCUUAGUAACGGCGAGUGAAGCGGCAAAAGCUCAAAUUUGAAAUCUGGUACCUUCGGUGCCCGAGUUGUAAUUUGGAGAGGGCAACUUUGGGGCCGUUCCUUGUCUAUGUUCCUUGGAACAGGACGUCAUAGAGGGUGAGAAUCCCGUGUGGCGAGGAGUGCGGUUCUUUGUAAAGUGCCUUCGAAGAGUCGAGUUGUUUGGGAAUGCAGCUCUAAGUGGGUGGUAAAUUCCAUCUAAAGCUAAAUAUUGGCGAGAGACCGAUAGCGAACAAGUACAGUGAUGGAAAGAUGAAAAGAACUUUGAAAAGAGAGUGAAAAAGUACGUGAAAUUGUUGAAAGGGAAGGGCAUUUGAUCAGACAUGGUGUUUUGUGCCCUCUGCUCCUUGUGGGUAGGGGAAUCUCGCAUUUCACUGGGCCAGCAUCAGUUUUGGUGGCAGGAUAAAUCCAUAGGAAUGUAGCUUGCCUCGGUAAGUAUUAUAGCCUGUGGGAAUACUGCCAGCUGGGACUGAGGACUGCGACGU
rnacentral:rRNA from 1 species